UACGGAGGGUGCAAACGUUGCUCGGAAUCAUUGGGCGUAAAGCGCGUGUAGGCGGCAUACCAAGUCUGUUGUGAAAUCGCCCGGCUCAACUGGGCGGGGUCAAUGGAAACUGGUAAGCUGGAGGACGGUAGAGGCGAGUGGAAUUCCCGGUGUAGUGGUGAAAUGCGUAGAGAUCGGGAGGAACACCUGUGGCGAAGGCGGCUCGCUGGGCCGAUCCUGACGCUGAGACGCGAAGGCGUGGGGAGCGAACGGG
rnacentral:rRNA from 1 species